UGGGGAGCCUGUUCCAGUGCCUGACCACCCUCUGGGGUGUUUUGUUCUGUCCACAAAAGAAAGGAUAGAUCUGCUUCAUUCAGUUUGAGUAUUGAAAAGUAGCAGUGCCUGCUGGGAACUCUGCCUGCUUCUCUCUGACGUGAUUGAGAGAAUUUUGGAUGAUCGAUCUACUGGAGAAUGACAGUGGAGAGAAGGCAAAUUUUAUCCUGGGAUGUCACUACAUAAAUCAACUGAUCUCAGAUUCUAAGAGCAGAGCAAUAAAGAGGAGUUUGGAAGGAGAA